GUAAUUUUAAAUGAAAUGAUAAACAUUUAUUUUAAUAUCAUUACAUAAGUGCUAACACAAGUGUCAUGAUUGGCUAUCUGUCAAAGACAUUAAAUAAGAAUUCAGAUCGAAAAUGGAUGUAUGCUAGAUUGGAAAAUGGGUUCUUAAAUCCUAGGUUUAUAGCCGGGGUUGAGCAAUUUGUGGAGUUUGCUAAAAGGCAUCCACAGUACAUGGAUGGUGAAAAGAUAAGAUGUCCAUGUAAUCAUCAUAAGUGUCGGAAUAGGAAUUUUCUGGAUGAGAUUACAGUUAAAGUACAUCUUGGCACAUAUGGGUUUGUAGAAAAUUAUUAUUAUUGGUAUAACCAUGGGGAAACUUAUGUGCAGCAUCAAAAUGUACAGAAUGUUUCUCAAGAAGAAGUAUUUGUUCAAAAUGUUGAGCUUCAAACUAUAGAGCCCCAAUCUCACAAUGAAUUUCAGUCUAUGGUUUAUGAUAUUGUUGGGCCUUCUUAUGAUCCAAACUUUGAGGAGAACCCAAACCCAGUAGCAUAACAUCGUUAUGAUAUGCUCAGAGCAUCAGAGCAGGAAGUGUGGCUAGGAAAUCCCUACGGCCAUUCACAGUUGUCUGUCGUUGCUCCACUUCUGAAUCUAAAGGCAGAACACCAUUUUUUUGAAAGGUUAUAUGAUGAGUUAUGUUAAUUUCUAUCAGAAUUGAUGCCAGCUGAUAAUAUAAUGACAGAUAGCUUCUACAGUACAAAAAAACUAAUGCAAGGAUUAGGCUUACCAAUAGAAAAGAUUGAUUAUUGGAUUAAUGGUCGCAUGAUUUAUUGGCAUGGAGACAGUGAAUGGAAUAAUUGUAAGUUCUGUGGACACCCACGAUUUAAAAGAUCAAGACAUGGACCUUCCAGUCAAAAAACAAAUGUCUCUUAUAAGAAGAUGUACUACUUUCCUCUAACUCCGCAUCUACAAAGGUUGUAUGCGUCUGAUGCCACAACAAAGUAUAAGAGGUGGCAUGCUGAGCAUGAAAAAGAUAGCGUCAUGUCUCAUUGCUCAGACUCUCCUGCUUGGAAGCAUUUUGAUCAAAUGUAUCAAAGUUUCGCAUGUGAAACAAGAAAUGUCAGAUUAGGUUUAUGCACUGAUGGGUUUCAAUACUCUUCAUGGGCUGUGAUGGUUAUGCCAUACAACUUGCCACCGUGGAUGUGCAUGAAGGAUGAGUACAUGUUCUUAUUUGUGAUUAUGCUUGGCCUAAAAAAUCCUAAACAGAAGUUGGAUGUGUUCUUGCAGCCCCUCAUUGAUGAGUUGAAAGAUUUGUGGGAGGUGGGAGUCCAAACAUAUGAUGUUUCCAGUAAGAAGAAUUUUCAUAUGCGAGUUGCAUUGAUGUGGACAAUAAGUGAUUUUCCUGCAUACUCAAUGCUGUCAGGUUGGAGCACAGUGGGGAAGUAAGGUUGUCCUUAUUGUAAGGAGAACUCAGAUGCUUUUACUUUAACUAGCGGUGGAAAGACCUCAUGGUUUGACAAUUAUCGGAAGUUUUUGCCACCAGAUCAUCCAUUUAGAAGGAAUAAAAGGUGGUUUAGGAAGGGUCAAACAGUACAAAAGAUAGCAACAAUAAAACAAUUGGGUGAACAAAUAUUUAAGGAGAUUGAGGAUUUGGGACUCCAAAAAGUUACAGAAGUUGAUUCAGAAGGAAUCAAUGCUAGAAUUUCUAAGAAUUAUGGAUGUGAGUGGAAGAUAAGAAGUAUAUUUUGGGACUUGCCUUAUUGGAAAACAAAUCUCAUUAGGCAUAAUCUAGAUGUAAUGCACAUAGAAAAAAAUGUGUUUGAUAAUAUUUUCAAUACCGUUAUGAAUGUCCAGGGGAAAACAAAGGACAAUGCGAAGUCUAGAGCAAAUUUGAAAGUAUUUUGUCAUCGUCCAGAGUUACAUUGGGAUGAAAAUACCAAGAAAUUUCCUAAAGCUCCUCACACACUGGAUAAGAAUGCAAAAGAAGUGUUGUGUAAAUGGGUGAAAGAAUUGAGAUUUCCAGAUGGAUAUAUGUCUAACAAGGGAAGAUGUGUUGAUAUGAACAAGCUUAAAUUGUCUGACAUGAAGAGUCAUGAUUGUCAUGUCUUUAUGCAGCGACUAAUACCCAUAGCAUUUCAAGAGUUACUUCCAGGAAAUGUGUGGCAGUCAUUAACAGAAUUAAGUCUUUUCUUUAAAGAUCUCACUUCUAAUAUCAUAACAGAGGAAAAUAUGAGACGUCUCAAAAAAAAUAUUCCUUUUGUUUUGUGUAAGCUUGAGCGUAAUUUUCCUCCAAGCUUCUUUGACUCUACGGAACAUCUUCCAAUCCAUUUAGCUUAUGAAGGAUGUAUAGCGGGCCCAGUUCAAUAUCGAUGGAUGUAUUCAUUUGAGAGGUAAGUAACAAUAACUAUAUAAAAUCAUAUAAAACUUAUUGAAUGUAUCUAUUAAUUAUGUAUUCUUUAAUGUAGGUAUCUUCGAAAGUUGAAGAAUAAUGUAAAAAAUAAAGCAAAGGUUGAUGGUUCAAUAUGCAAUGCAUAUUUGGUUGAAGAAACUACAUCAUUUUAUGCACACUAUUUCAAGUCACAUGUUUCAACAAGGCAUAACAAAGUGCCCUGAAAUGUUUAUGGAUGUGGGAAAGAAGCAUAUGAACAACCAGGGAUGCUAUCUAUAUUGAAGCAAUUUGGACGAUCUUUUGGUCAAGAGAAAUCCAAGCAAUUAGAUGAUACAGAAUUUCAUUUAGCUCGCACCUAUAUUUUGCUGAAUUGCGAUGAAGUUAAACCAUAUAUUAAGUAAGUUAUUAAUGAUGUAGAUAUCAAAAUCAUUUACAUUUGAUGCUAGAUUAACUUUAAAUUUUUUUCUUAAAAGAAUCUAUGAAGAUACCUUAAGGCAAAGUCAACCAUUUAUUCAAGAUAGCGAGGUUGAUGCAAAACUUGAAACGGAGUUUGUAUCUUGGUUUGAGAAAUACAUGAGUAAUAAUUUAUAUAUAUUCUUUAUAUCCAUUAUUAGAACCAAAUUUUCUUACAUAUUAGCUAAUGCUUAUAAUUUGUCAAGAGGCACAUGAUCCUUUAUCGAACAUUGCCAACCAAAUCAUUAAAGACCUUGCAAAAGGUCCGUUGCAUAUUGUUAAGUCCUUUCAUGGAUAUUAUGUUAAUGGAUACAAGUUUCACACUGAAGGAUAUGGUUCAAGUAGGUCUACAAUAAACAGCGGAGUAUGCAUCAAGGGUUUUAGUUACAGUGCAAGUGAUCUUGAGUAUUAUGGCCGGUUGACAGAAAUAGUGCAAUUAGAGUACCCUGCAUUACCAAUCAAGCGAACCGUAUUAUUUAAGUGCACUUGGUUUGAUCCAACACCAAAACAUGGUACAAGAGAAUAUCCACAAUAUAAGCUUGUUGAAGUUAACAGCAAAAAGGCAUUUAACAGAUACGAGCCAUUUAUUUUGGCUACACAAGCUGCUCAAGUGUAUUAUGUAACCUAUCCUACAUGACAAGGACUGUGAAUGAAUGGUUUGCCGUUUGCAAAAUAAAGGCACGACCUAUUGUGGAGGUUUCAGAAAUAUCACAACAAUCCAUUGAUUUAGCAUUUCAAGAAGAUUGCAAUCAAGUGCAUGAAAUUGAUUUUCACAUGGAUAAAAUA
rnacentral:misc_RNA from 1 species